rnacentral:snRNA from 1 species
AUAUAUUUUGUAAAAAAAAAAUCUGUUCUUAUCAGUUUAAUAUCUGAUACGCUCCCCCAUCGGGGGACUACAUAUUAAAUGGAUUUUUCGAACAGGGAGUCGGAAAUGGGGCUUGCUCCGUCCGCUCCACGCAUCGACCCGGUAUUGCAGUACCUCCGGGAACGGUGCAACACUU